AAUGAACGUUGGCGGCGUGGAUUAGGCAUGCAAGUCGAGCGGCAGCAGGCCCCGCAAGGGGCGCUGGCGAGCGGCGAAAGGGAGAGUAACGCGUGGGUACGUACCCCUGGGAUCAGGAUAGCGGCGGGAAACUGCCGGUAAUACUGAAUAACAUCUCAGGAUCAAAGGUGUGAUUCCGCCUGGGGAUCGGCCCGCGUCCUAUCAGCUAGUUGGCGAGGUAAUGGCUCACCAAGGCUAUGACGGGUACUGGGUGUGUGAGCACGACCCAGCUCACUGGGACUGAGAUACUGCCCAGACACCUACGGGUGGCUGCAGUCGAGAAUCUUCGGCAAUGGGCGAAAGCCUGACCGAGCGUCGCCGCGUGCGGGAUGAAGGCCUUCGGGUUGUAAACCGCUGUCGUAGUGGAGGAAAUAUCAGGGGGUUCUCCCCUUGGUUUGACUGAUACUAGGAGGAAGGGUGGGCUAAGCUCGUGCCAGCAGCCGCCGUAAUAC
rnacentral:rRNA from 1 species